rnacentral:lncRNA from 1 species
GUGGUACCCGGAAAGACAGGUACUCUUCUGAGCAAAGUGAGGGAACUCAUCGUCUGUUCUUUCUUUUUUCACGUUUUAUUUUUAUUUUAUUUAUUUAUUUAUUUUCUUUUUAUGGCCCUGCUUGUGGCAUAUGGAAGAUCCCAGGCCAGGGGUCAAAUCAGAGCUGUAGCUGUCAAGCUAUGUCACAGCCACAGCAGCACCAGAACCGAAAUGCAUCUGCAACCUACACCGCAGCUCAUAAUGGGAACUUCCUUAUGCCGUGGGUGCGGCCCUAAAAAGGACAAAAAAAAAAAGAAAAGGAAAGAAUUGCCAGACCCUUAUCAGCCCACCUGUCUCACUGUAACUGUUACAAUCUUCCUAAGGCCCGCCCCACCCCAACAGGCCUACUCCUCCCUGCCCCCUAUUAGGAAAGGUAUGUGGCCCACUCCCCUCCUCCCCUCAGUCAGCCUGGCCUGCUCCUUCCUGCCCCACUACUAGAAAAGGUUUGUAGCCCACUCCUUACCCCGCCCCUAUGGGGCAACAUAUGCCCCCAACCAACCAGCAAGUGUAUCGGAAGACUCCAUCCCUCCCCAGCCAAUCAGCAGGUGUAUGGCAAGACCACGCCUCCACUCCUUUGUCUCUGGGCUAUAGAAACAGACACGCCCUUGUGCCCUGGUUAUCUGGAUGCUGGUCCACUGUGUGAACAGUGUCUCUGUCCUCAAUAAACGUGUCUUUUCUACAUCUUGGUUUAAAUCCGGAAAAUACUUUUUCCACCCAUAUGCAGAGCCCACAACAGCCAGGACCAGACCGCACGCCCCUAACUCCCAGCCCAGGGCUUGGUACUCUGCGCCUCUGCCCCCCAGAGGGUUGGGAGCUCCAGGCAGCCCGAGGAAAGGCUUCCAGAGGCAGGGAUUGCCUGGCACUCAGACCCCGGGCAGUCCUUUGGCAGGUGACACAGAUGGGUGGUGCUAAGUGCUGUCCCAGGAAAGGACCUGCCUACUUUAUAAUCUGGGGUGACUGCUCUGAUUGGGCUCCACUUCUAGCCGCAGACCUGGGGAGGAGAGGGCGACCUGAUAAAGGCUAUCUCAUGGAACUGCCCUGUGGAACCGGAUGUAGGAAUCAGGCCCAGUUACAGGUAAGCAAAUGAAGAUUUAGGGAAAUGAAGGGACUUGCCCAAGGCCCGGCGGCAGGGACGACCCAGCUUGGCAAUGCCCAUGGGCGGGGCAGUGCCUGUGCCGUUUCUAAGAGAUCCUUCUCCUUCUUCUUCUUCUUCUUCUUUUUUUUUUUUUGUCUUUUUAGGGCUGCACCCAUGGCAUAUGGGAGUUCUCAGGCUAGGGGUCCAAUUGGAACUGUAGUUACCAGCCUGCACCACAACCACAGCAACGCCAGAUGUGAGCAGCAUCUGUGACAUACACCACAGCUCAUGGCAACGCCGGACCCUUUAACCCACUAAGCGAAGCCAGGGGUCGAACCCACAUCCUUAUGGCUACGAGCUGGGUUUGCUACUGCUGAGCCACCACAGGAACUCCUCCAUGAAUAAGGUCCUUCUGCCUGCCCUUGCGGGGGGGGGGGGGGUCCAUGGCCCUUCCGCCAAAAUAUUUGCGUUUCUGACAAGGGGCCUGAAACCCCUCCCCGAGCUCUCUUUCUUCCUGGUUACUGCAAACAGCGCCUCACAAGCAGCAGGUAACCCCUGAAGGCAUUACCGGCCCUUUUGCUUUGAGUGUGAAUUAGUUAUCAGACCCUGAGACUGGAGCAGAAUGCAGGGCCCUGCCCUAUAUGACACAUGACAGGUGAGGAGGGAGAGGUCCCUGGGCAGGGCUAUGCCCUGGGAGUGGCUGGGUGGAGCUUCCCCCGAAGCACCUGGGCCCCAUGUCCAUCCAGGUGGCACUGAGUGAGCAGGGAGGUGCCUGGGGUGGAGGUGCGGGACGACGUGGACGAAGCACCGACUUUUUUUGGGUUCCAGCCUGAGCUCUGCCAUCUCCUACCUGUGUAGCCUUAGGUGAGCCAGCCACUUCCCUGAGCCUCACAACCUCACCUGCGCAGUGGGGAUACACUGCCGUGUCUACCUUGCAGAUGGGAGCUAUUGAGAAGGUGUUCCGUUUCCGUCCCCAUUCUCACACGUGAGCAUGAGAAGCCCCUGGAGGGCUCCUUAGAACUUAAAGGCCUCACCCCAGAGUUUCUGCUUUAGUUAGUCCCGGGAGGGGCCUAGGUUCCUAACUAACUAACUAACUAACUAAGUGUCCUGACAAGUUCUGAUGCUGCUUGUGCUGGGACCACUCCUCUAUGAAAGAUCUCUGAAUCUAGGAGAUUGAGGAGUUCCCGUUGUGGCUCAGUGGGUUAAGAAGGCUACUGGUAUCCAUGAGGAUUCGUGUUUGAUCCCUGGCCUCUAUCAGUGGGUUAAGGGUCUGGCAUUGCUGCAGCGUAGUUUGCUGAUGUGGCUCGGAUCUGGCGUUGCUGUGGCUGUGGUGUAGGCUGGUGGCUGUGGCUCUGAUUAGACUCCUACCUAGACUAGGAACUUCCAUAUGCCUCUGGUGUGGCCCUAAAAAGCCAAAACAAAAAACCAAAAAACAAAAAACCCACUGGGAGGUUGGAGAGGGCGGGGUGCAGAGCAGAGCCUAGAAAAGCUGCCAAAUACAAACUUGAAAUUUUGUAGGGAUUUUGCCCCCCUGUCACCUUGGCUGAACAGAGGGUGCCCAGGAGGAGAAGAGGAAAUGGCUGCAGGGCCAAGGGUCGAGGGCCAGGGCUCUGAGCUGUCUCCAGGAACCUCUCCUUUAAUCCUCCAUCCGCUCUCUAACACUGCAGAGAGCUGGUCUCUCGCACCUACUUCAACAUGAAGAAACAGGCUGGAAGAGGUUCGGGGACACGUCCAAGGCCAUGCACACAGCAAAGUGGAAACGGGAACCCAGACCUCUCACCCUGGGCCCUGGAUGUUUCCUAACGCACUCCACCGCCCCUCCUGUUAUCUGGUAGAGGGAAAAAUAUAUUAAGAGCUGUGCAAAUUUGUAGGGAUGGCUCAUCUAAGCUCCCCCUCCCUGCACCCAAAGCCCCGCCUCUGCAAAGGUUGCCCUUCCCCCCACUCGGCUUCUCUUCUUGCCACGCCCACUCCCAGCUCCCUGCCCUCAAGUGUCCUUCUAUCUUCCAGGAAAGGGACUGCAGCUUUUGACGCCAACCACCCCCCCUCCCCACCCUGCCCCCCACCCCCAGGACUUGGUGCCAACACCCAAGAGGUGCUCAGUGAACUUGGGGUUUGCCUCCCUUGCUUUCCUGGUCCCCGCCCUCCCCCCACCUCGAAAAGUUUGUCCUCAGAGCCCUUCCAAAGUGACAUCCUCCAUCCUGAGUCCCCAGGAGUGGGAGGGAUGCUGCGUACCCAAGGCUGCCGACAGGGUCAGAGGGGAAACUGCAUUUCCUGCCGGGGCCCCUGGGGAGCCCUGUCUCUCAGAGGUCAGCUGGGUCUCCAAGCACAGCUCUGGGGGGAGAGGGGGCGGGGAGGGGAGAGGAAGGAGGGGGGGGAAGGACAAGGGCACAGAGAGGAAGGGGGCAGCGAGAAGAGGAAGGACAGGGGGAAGGGGAAGGGAGGCAAAGAAAGAGAGGCAGGGGUAACAGAAGAUUCGAGAGCAUGAGACGCAGAGAGGGAGAGUCAAGAGAAAAGGAUCAGAGAAACAGAAAAGCGAGAGCAAGUUAGAGACGAAAUGGGAAGGGGUGUGAGAAAAAGAUCGACGUUGACAUAGAGAAACUGGCAGGCAGAUAUGCCAGAGAAACGGAGAGCAGGCAGGCACCGCCCGAAGGAAACACCUGCACUUCCCGCACCUCACUGAGUUUCUUCUGGGUGUUCUGCUCUGUGUGUCUGUGCUGUGACACCUCAGGCCUUGGAUCAGCACAUCCAAUUGACCAGUAAACAUCGCUCUCACAGCCCCUGAUGGAGGAAGCAGGCCAGCCUGGAGGGAGUGGUCAGCUCCCCACGAGCCGUGGGAAGAGCCCCCUGGGAUCUUGAGUCAGAUUCUUGGGAAAGCCCCUGCCCCUCUCCCCCAAGCACAUCCAGGAAUUCUUUUGCUUUUCUGUUGCAUUAUCAUUCAUUACAAGGUAUGAAAUACUGUUCCCCGGACUGUACAUCAGGGCCUUGUUGUUUAUACAGAGUCGUGUGUCUCUGCGGAUCCCAAACUCCCGAUUUAUCCCUCCCCACCCUUCCACUUUGGUAACCAUAUGUUUAUUUUCUGUGUCUGUGAGUCAGUUACUGUUUUGUAAAUACGUUCAUUUGUAUCAUUUUUCAGAUUCUUUCGUGUCUCAAUUUAUGCCUCUGGGACAGGGACAUUUCUCAAGGGGGUGUGGAAAACUUGAAACCGACCACUCAGGCCUUACAGUGGAAAGAAUCUGGGCUUUGAAAGUCGGCCAACCCGAGUUCAAAUCCAGACUCUACUAUCUCUUUGCUGGGUGACCUCAGGCACAUGACCUCCCCUCUCUGGGCUUUGCAUCUCCUAAAUGUGACUGGGCUCCCUAAGGAGUUUUUUUUCUUUCUUUCUUUUUUUUUUUUUUUAGGGCUGGAUCCAUGGCAUAUGGAAGUUCUAAGACUAGUGGUUGAAUUGGAGCUGUAGCUGCUAGCCUACACCACAGCCACAGCAACACCAGCUCCUUUGACCCACUGAGCGAGGCCUGCAUCCUCCUGGACACUAGUUAGGUUCAUUACUGCUGAGUUGCAGCAGGAACUCCUCCCAGGGGAACUUUUGCUCUCAUCCUUGCACUCAGCUGGCAGGGGCUUCUAGCGGUUUCAUGCCUUCCACAGGCAAAACCAGCCGCAGGUGACUUUAGGGAUCCUCUUUUUUUUUUUUUUCUUUUUGGCCACACCUGCAGCAUAUGGAAAUUAACGGGCCAGGGAUUGACUCCAAGCCACGGCUGCUGCUACCCACGCCACAGCCAUAGCAAUGCUGGAUCCUUAACCCACUGUACCUGGCCAGAGAUCGAACCUGGGGCACCAAAGAGACAACAGGUCCUUAACCCACUGUGCCACAGUGGGAACUCCCCCAUUAGUCCACUUGAUUCUCCGUAUGGUCCUGUCUGCGCAGUGACAGCUCUGACUCUCUCUAUCCUCCGGUCCUCAGGCAGAUUCUCUAGUCUCCCCGGCUCCGACAUUUGGUCUCCUCACUACUUCUCUUGCUCCUGUUUUUUCUUUUUACAGCCAUGCCUGCAGCAUAUGGAAGUUCCCAGUCUAGGGGUUGAAUUGGAGUUGCAGCGGCAGGCCUACACCGCAGCCACAGCAACAUCAGAUCCGAGCUGCAUCUGCAACUUAUACUGCAGCUUACAGCAAUUCCAGAUCCUUAACCCACUGUGCAAGGCCAGGGAUGGAACCUGCAUCCUCAUGGGCACUGCGUUGGGUUCUACAAUGGGAACUCCUGCAGCACUGUGUAGGUCUCCCGUUUCUUGGAAUCUUUUGCCCUUUUCUUACCCCAGGAAGGAGUUGAGCAUCGUUACUAAGAACAAAUCUCCAGAGUCAGAUGAGCUGGGUUCGAAUUUCAGCUCUGCUUCCUAUUAAUAGUGGCUUCACCUCUACAUACCUCAAUUUCUUCAUCUGUAUAAUGGGUUAAGGGCAGUGCCUGCUGGAAUGAGCAGUUGGGAGGAUUAAAUGCAUUCAUAUAUAUAAGACAUUUAAUGGCAAUGUCUGGCACAGAAUAAACACCAAAUGAAUGUUAGCGAUUAUUCUUAUCACUCCUAAGUCGACAAAGACUCACCUUAAGAAUUCCCAUCAUGGCUCAGAAGUUAACGAACCCAACUAGCAUCCAUGAGGGUGCAGGUUUGAUCCCUGGCCUCACUCAGUGGGUUAAAGAUCUGGCGUUGCUGUGAACUGUGAUGUAGGUUGCAGACGUGGCUCAGAUCCCGGGUUGCUGUGGCUCUGGUGUAGGCUGGUGGCUACAGCUCUGUAUGGACCUCCACCCUGGGAACCUCCAUAUGCUGCAGGUGUGGCCCUAAAAGACAAAAAAAAAAAAAAAAAAAAAAAAAAAAGAGAUCUACCCUCUUUCAGAGUUCCUGUAGCGGCUCAGCAGUGAUAAAUCUGACUAUUGUCCAUGAGGGUGCAGGUUCGAUCCCUGGCCUUGCUCAGUGGGUUGAGGAUCUGGUGUUACUGUGCUGUAGGUCAUAGAUGCGGCUUGGAUCCUGAGUUGCUGUGGCUGUGGUGUAGGCCAGCAACUAUAGCUCUGACUCGGCCUCUAGGCUGGGAACUUCCAUAUGCUGUGGGUUCGGCCCUAAAAAGACAAAAGAAUAAAAAUAAAACAAAUAAACAAUUACCCUCUUUCCAUGGCAAGAAGGUGCUGUGAAUGAGAACUUUCCCUGAGGUUCUGCUGUGGCUCAGUGGGCUAAGAAUCCAACU